UUCAAUGAGUGUGAAAAAGCUUUUUGUUUGUUGCUUGUGCGUUUGGAUCCCGUGGAAAACUAAUGGCUGCGCGGCAGCGUUAGGGCCUCAGCUUUGCGUCAGGGGAAAAAAAAGCAGCUCUUUCAGAGAUCUAUUUUUAUCAUUUAAUUAGUAGCUCUUGCUGACUUGUCAGUGCCGCGGCGAUAACAGUUUCCAGUUCUUUCCUGCGCGGUGGGGUCACGCGUUAGUCCGGCAGCGAAUGCACCAGCCCGCGGUCGGACCUUGGGCUGGCUCUGGGUUGGGGGGUUUAACUCCUUCCAAGCUGCACCCCCACACCCAAGGGCAGGUUCCAGGACUUUCUGUAUGUGAGGUGUGGAGGUUGCUGUGAUUUGUUGCACACUGGGGACCCCAGCGAAGCAUUGCUUACCUACCAGCUGCACAGCCAAGUUCAGAAGUCGUUAUGGGCAGUGCAUUAUCACGAACUAAUUAACCAUGUCUGCUGGAUGUCGUGGGGCAAAAUAAGGAAUUGCUCGAAAAGCUCGUGUGCAAGAGGAAUGGAAGAGAACACCGGACGCUCAUUCUCCAGGCGCUGCUAAGCUCAGGACCGCGGGGUUGUUCCGGGCUGGAGACGAGAUUUCAAUUCACACUCAUCCCUGAGGACCGGUGGGAGCACAGUCUGCAGGCAGCUGUAGCGAAGUUUCAGA
rnacentral:lncRNA from 1 species